GCCUCCGUGGCCUAAUGGAUAAGGCAUCGGUUUCCUAAACCGGGGAUUGUGGGUUCGACUCCCAUCGGAGGUG
rnacentral:tRNA from 1 species